rnacentral:sRNA from 1 species
UGAAUAACCCACCACCUGAAAGGUGAUGGGCUUCUUAUAAAGAUUCACCAGGUUUAGUUAAUAGAAAUAUUAACUACGAUAAAUAAGUCAUAACACCUUUGAAUGUCGCAUCAGUUCAUUGCUCUGU